GACGAACGCUGGCGGCGUGCUUAACACAUGCAAGUCGAACGGUGAAGGGGUCUGCUUUUGUGGGCGCUGGAUGAGUGGCGAACGGGUGAGUAACACGUGAGUAACCUGCCCCCUUCUUCUGGAUAACCGCAUGAAAGUGUGGCUAAUACGGGAUAUUCUGGGUCUGUCGCAUGAUGGGUCUGGGAAAGAUUGCGCCGUUGGGUGUUUUUGGUGGGGGAUGGGCUCGCGGUCUAUCAGCUUGUUGGUGGGGUGAUGGCCUAGCAAGGAGGUGACGGGUAGCGGAGCUGGGGGGGGGGAAGGUUGCAAUGGGAACGCGGCACGGACCACACUGCUAGGGGAGGCAGCGGUGGGGAAUAUUGCACAAGGGGCGCAAGCGUGAUGCAGCGACGCCGCGUGAGGGAUGGAGGCCUUCGGGUUGUAAACCUAUUUCGCAAGUGAAGCAGGCCUGCUACUUGUGGGUGGGUUGACGGUAGCUGGAUAAGAAGCGCCGGCUAACUACGUG
rnacentral:rRNA from 1 species